AGUAAAUCGUUGAGCAAGAGGAGUACACAUAUUUGAUUCUUUCCAGGGAGUCGGGGCAGGUGGGAACCGAUAAGAUAAGAUUUGUGGAAUGGACUUGCGAGAGGCAUCUUGAACCUGUAGUAGGGAUGCACGGAGUUCCACCGUUAAAAGGAUAGGAUAUCGAACGACAUUGUUUCUGUAUCCGAAAGAGGAAGCAGAUUUUUUCUGUUUCAAAUUUGAGGUGGCACCACGGUCAACAGAAUCGUCCUCUAU
rnacentral:ncRNA from 1 species